rnacentral:rRNA from 1 species
AAGCAGGGGAUCGUAAGACCUUGCGCUUUUGGAGCGGCCGAUGCCUGAUUAGCUAGUUGGUGGGGUAAGGGCCUACCAAGGCGACGAUCAGUAGUUGGUCUGAGAGGACGACCAGCCACACUGGGACUGAGACACGGCCCAGACUCCUACGGGAGGCAGCAGUGGGGAAUUUUGGACAAUGGGCGAAAGCCUGAUCCAGCAAUGCCGCGUGAGUGAAGAAGGCCUUCGGGUUGUAAAGCUCUUUCAGUCGAGAAGAAAAGGUCGCGACUAAUAAUCGCGACUCAUGACGGUAUCGACAGAAGAAGCACCGGCUAACUACGUGCCAGCAGCCGCGGUAAUACGUAGGGUGCGAGCGUUAAUCGGAAUUACUGGGCGUAAAGGGUGCGCAGGCGGCUUUGUAAGUCAGAUGUGAAAUCCCCGGGCUUAACCUGGGAACUGCGUUUGAAACUACAAAGCUAGAGU